rfam:Agrilus planipennis Contig52115, whole genome shotgun sequence.
AUAUACCACAGUUGGUAUAGAUACAUUCCUCAUCGCACCCUCGGCUGAAGAGGACCCUAGUUGGUCCUAAAACGGUCUGAGGUAGAGGGGUUUUAGUCGGUAGGUCCGAGGACUUCUUCCUCGGGAAUCCGACACUACCCAGUCGUACGGACGGCUGGGUGUCUUCUGAAGAUUUCCCCUCUUCCACGAAA